UAGCCCUUGGGAACUCUAAAGCAUUGAAUGCUAUAUUCAAUGGAGUAGAUAAGAAUAUCUUCAGAUUGGUAAACAACUGUGAAGUGGCUAAAGAUGCUUGGGACAUUCUCAAAACCACUCAUGAAGUUAGCCCUUGGGAACUCUAAAGCAUUGAAUGCUAUAUUCAAUGGAGUAGAUAAGAAUAUCUUCAGAUUGGUAAACAACUGUGAAGUGGCUAA
rnacentral:lncRNA from 1 species